rnacentral:rRNA from 1 species
UACGUAGGAGGCAAGCGUUGUCCGGAAUUACUGGGCGUAAAGCGCGUGUAGGUGGUGGGACAAGUCUGCCGUGAAAGCGCCUGGCUUAACCGGGCGAGGUCGGCGGAAACUGUCCGACUCGAGGACGGUAGAGGGGGGUGGAAUUCCCGGUGUAGUGGUGAAAUGCGUAGAGAUCGGGAGGAACACCUGUGGCGAAGGCGGCCCCCUGGGCCGGCCCUGACACUGAGACGCGAAGGCGUGGGGAGCGAACGGG